GACGAACCGUGCAAACGUUGUUCGGAAUCACUGGGCUUAAAGGGCGCGUAGGCGGGCCGGCCAGUCAGGGGUGAAAGCCCACGGCUCAACCGUGGAAGUGCCUUUGAUACUGCCGGUCUUGAGGGAGGUAGGGGCGUGCGGAACUUCCGGUGGAGCGGUGACAUGCGUAGAUAUCGGAAGGAACACCGGUGGCGAAGGCGCCGCUCUGGGCCGAAACUGACGCUGAGGAGCGAAAGCGUGGGGAGCGAACAGG
rnacentral:rRNA from 1 species